GAAAGAUAAAAUUUAUAUUUUUCGGCAGGAGACAAACAACUUCCAGACAAACAGAAGAAAAGCACAAGAGCCAAGAUCUGUAUACUACACUCCUCCUGCAUGCUAUCUAUAUUAAGCUGGAUUUAGACUCACCUUAUUUUAUGGACUGAAAGCGAGAACAAAAGCAGAGUAGCAAGAAAAGUUCUCGUAAAGCUCAAUUUCUUUUUCUUUUUCUUUUUCUUUUCUUUUCUUUCUCCCUAAAAAUCUAUACUUUACACAAACACACACACACACACACACACACACAGACACACAUAUGUAUACUUAUAAAUAAAAGAAGAAAAGAAAAGUUCCAUUGUGAGUUGUGUCCCUUGUUUGCAGGGUAUACUCAAUAACACUCUACGCCUCACCUUUUCUCUUUUUACUCUUCUCUUUUUCUACCAUGGCUUAUUACAGCAUUUUCCAACCAAGCCGUAACUUUGCUUGCUAGUGUUUUCUUGUUUUUCUUCUUUCCAAUCUUUAUCGUAUUCUCAUUUCACUUCAAUGCACUGAAGAUUAGAAGAACCCAUCUCUGUUUUCUCGAAAAAAUCUUAUCUGGGUGCAGUAAAGAUGGUGUUAAAAAUGCAUUUUCGUCCAUCUCUGCAACUUGGUUUGGCGCAGAAACUCGUAAUAAUGAUAAUCUUCAUCUUGCUGAUCGUCAAAUCAUUGUUAGUUUCUGCCGAGACGGAUCAAGAGGAGUUCGUCGUAGCCGGAAACAACCAGAACCCCGCACCGGAAGAUCACCACCAUCACCAUCACCAUCGACACCAGCAGCAAAAACGACAUCGAAGCUUCAAGCACUCAUUUGACAUGGUGUAUUCAAACAAGAGAAGAGUUCCCAACGCUUCAGAUCCUCUUCACAAUCGUUGAAUCAACUGGGAAUUUGUUCUUGUUUUGUUUAUGUGUAGAUGAUCAAAAUGAGUUAAAUAUAUACCUAGCUUCGCUAUAGUUUAUCGGAAAAUGUGAAAAGAAAAAGACGACCUCACCGAGAGAGUUUUGAGGUUAGAUUUUAGAUUUGAUGAUGAUGAUGAUGAUGAUGGUGCGGGUCAAAGUCGGGUACGGGGUUUUUAGUUUGCGGGCAUCUUGUUAAACCGGUUGGGGGGGGGGGGGGGUAUGCUUUGCUUCUUCUUGAUUCUCGUGGAUCGCAUCCUCAUGCUUUUCCAAAUUUUGGGUAUGGUUUUAAAUUUGGAUUUCAUACGGUCCAUCUUUUAUAUCUUAUAAUUGUUACUCAUAUAUGUAAAUUUCAAUAUAUUUUAUCAAGUAAUUGAUCUUCAAGAAAUUAAUCAAGGC
rnacentral:lncRNA from 1 species